CGAGCGAUAGUUUAGUUUCUAGAAUUUUGGCCUUGGGUGUCAGAGACAAAAGUGAAAAUCUUUUUUGCUUGA
rnacentral:tRNA from 1 species